rnacentral:rRNA from 1 species
UACGGAGGAUGCAAGCGUUAUCCGGAAUGAUUGGGCGUAAAGCGUCCGCAGGUGGCUGUGUAAGUCUGCUGUCAAAGAGCGAAGCUCAACUUCGUAAAGGCAGUGGAAACUACACGGCUAGAGUGCGUUCGGGGCAGAGGGAAUUCCUGGUGUAGCGGUGAAAUGCGUAGAGAUCAGGAAGAACACCGGUGGCGAAGGCGGCAUCCUGGACCGGCAUUGACGCUGAGGAGCGAAAGCCAGGGGAGCAAACGGG